rnacentral:rRNA from 1 species
CAGUAGCCGCGAUAAUACAGAGGGUGCGAGCGUUAAUCGGAUUUACUGGGCGUAAAGCGUGCGUAGGCGGCUUUUUAAGUCGGAUGUGAAAUCCCUGAGCUUAACUUAGGAAUUGCAUUCGAUACUGGGAAGCUAGAGUAUGGGAGAGGAUGGUAGAAUUCCAGGUGUAGCGGUGAAAUGCGUAGAGAUCUGGAGGAAUACCGAUGGCGAAGGCAGCCAUCUGGCCUAAUACUGACGCUGAGGUACGAAAGCAUGGGGAGCAAACAGGAUUAGAGACCCCGGUAGUCCCUGUCUCUUAUAC